UCUGUUCAGAAGAAGCCCUUACCUGGAGAAAACAGAGUCCGGUCCCAACGCCUCCUCUCCUCUGAGUCUAACCAAUGGAGCUCCUCCUCGCCAUUGGAGCAGACACCCAUGCACCAAAUACGGCGGAUCAAUAACAAGAAUUCCAAGAAGGCUGAUGUUUAAACAAGUUUUGUGACCAAGAGAAUGCAUUGGGAAGCAAAUAUUUUUUGCUAUACAAUAUUUUAAUUGUGGUGGAUAGAACCAUCUUCUUGUAGUUUGAAUUGAGAGAAGUUUUAUUUUAAGAUGUAUCUUCAGUCAUAUGAUUCUCUUUUUGUAUUCUGAAUCAUGACAUGUUUUAUUUUAGAUGAAUGUAUUGUCAAUUAGAAACAUUUAUAAAAAAAUUGUGACAGGUUUUAUUUCAAAUGUA